UCUUCCGCAUAUACGACCUCGCACAUGCGGUCCCCCAUCCGCAUGAGCGAAUCACUAAGACAUGCACCAGCAUCGCAAAAGCGACAAAACUCACGCAUAAGUAGAGCCACACCUGCGCUACUAAAUGCGCAGGUGUUAGGAGCGCGGGUGUUAGGAGCGUAGGUGCGAAACACCAGAACCAGAUCUGCCCAAACCAUGAAUGAUAUGAUAUGGACUAUAAAU
rnacentral:lncRNA from 1 species